rnacentral:ncRNA from 2 species
CUCUUAUCCAGAGAGGUGGAGGGAACUGGCCCGAUGAAACCCGGCAACCCAGGACGCUGCGGGGCGUCCGAAGGUGCCAACUCCACCGGCGGCCUCACGCCGCCGGAAGAUAAGAG